CAGAGUCUGUUUGGAAUAUUCAUUUCUCGCACAGAACGACAAGCUGACCAAUAGAAUAAGUCAACUUUUGUACUAUGGAGGAUAGUAGAUUGACAUAUGCUAGUGCUUUUGCUGUUCGUUACUCAUCUUGUUGGCUGACGGAAAGUAAAUGUGGACAGUUCUUCUAACAUCUUCAAUAUGCGCGUCAGAAUUUGCCCCAUUACAUCCCCGAUGUGUCUGUGAGAAGGACCCAAUAACGUGACUGGACAUUGGCUAAUAAUUGAGAUAACAGAAAGCCAUUUGAGUGAGAGGUGCUUCGGAGCAGGGCGAUUAGCAGCCGGGAGAAGGGAAUAACCCUUUGUGUUCACUAGCACGCGAUGCCGCGCAGUGAAACACCGCUGGGCAAUGACCAAUCAUAUCGUGUGGUUGCCAUUAGGAAUUUGACGCUAUUCGACAAAACGCUGGAAACUUUCUUUAGCAAAGAUGGCUGACAAAAAUACUAGGACGGAAGCAAAUGGUCUCCUGAGAAAAUCAUGCUGUCGUCUUGUGAAACAGUGGAUGUAAUGAAUCUAGCUAGCUAAAGCUUUUAUUGCAAAUUGAAUGUAAAAUUUUGCAAGCUUGCCUUGUUGAUAUUUGCCAUGCAAUGCAGCUGAACUAACGUAGCUAGCUAACACUUUUCUUGCUUAUUGUGUAGUAGAGGAUAAAAAUACCUGUAUGCCUAUGGAUGUGUGGCUAGCUGCGUAGCCGAUCUGUGUAUGGACCCAAACGUAGCCGAUCUGUGUAUGGACCCAAACGUUUGGUAUACAUAUUAGUUCAGAACCGAGCUAUGAACCUCAGCUAUCAUAGCCAGUUGUAUCAACUUCAAAACAGUCUGAAUGGCAUUAUUGAAGCCUAUGGAUGAGUAGAAUAUAAUAUAACUUUAUUGUGCCAAGGAUGCAAGUUGCGUAUAUAUAUAGUUAUUACCAAGCAUGAUCCCCACAUUGUAGCCUGUACAUUGUAUAUAUUUGCUGAGCAUGUACUCUACCUGGCAAAUAAAGGUCCGGUUCAGGUAUGAAUGAAUGAGUAUCAAACUCCAGUCUUUGAAUGAUGCUGUGUCUUUUACAAUUAUGCUUACCAAUCCUGAUCCUGGGACAUCAAAGGUUACACACAGUGUAACUCUGUGUUGUCUGUUCACACUGCUAUGCUUUAUCUCGGCCAGGUCGCAGUUGCAAAUGAGAACUUGUUCUCAACUAGCCUACCUGGUUAAAUAAAGGUGAAAAAAAAAAAAAAAAAAAAAAAA